GAUGAACGCUGGCGGCGUGCCUAAUACAUGCAAGUCGAGCGAACAGACGAGGAGCUUGCUCCUCUGACGUUAGCGGCGGACGGGUGAGUAACACGUGGAUAACCUACCUAUAAGACUGGGAUAACUUCGGGAAACCGGAGCUAAUACCGGAUAAUAUAUUGAACCGCAUGGUUCAAUAGUGAAAGACGGUUUUGCUGUCACUUAUAGAUGGAUCCGCGCCGCAUUAGCUAGUUGGUAAGGUAACGGCUUACCAAGGCAACGAUGCGUAGCCGACCUGAGAGGGUGAUCGACCACACUGGAACUGAGACACGGUCCAGACUCCUCCGGGAGGCAGCAGUAGGGAAUCUUCCGCAAUGGGCGAAAGCUUGACGGAGCAACGCCGCGUGAGUGAUGAAGGUCUUCGGAUCGUAAAACUCUGUUAUUAGGGAAGAACAAAUGUGUAAGUAACUAUGCACGUCUUGACGGUACCUAAUCAGAAAGCCACGGCUAACUACGUG
rnacentral:rRNA from 1 species